ensembl:snRNA U6 U6 spliceosomal RNA
GUGCUUGAUUCAGCAGCACAUGUACUAAAAUUGGAAUGAUACAGGGAAGAUUAGUAUGGUUCCCUGCGCUAGGAUGACACACUAUUUAUUUACAAUCCCUAUGAUACC